rnacentral:rRNA from 1 species
GACGAACGCUGGCGGCGUGCUUAACACAUGCAAGUCGAACGAUGAUGCCAGCUUGCUGGUGGAUUAGUGGCGAACGGGUGAGUAACACGUGAGCAACCUGCCCCUGACUUCGGGAUAACCGCGGGAAACCGUGGCUAAUACCGAAUAUGACGCGCUAUCGCAUGGUGGUGUGUGGAAAGAUUUAUCGGUUGGGGAUGGGCUCGCGGCCUAUCAGCUUGUUGGUGGGGUGAUGGCCUACCAAGGCGACGACGGGUAGCCGGCCUGAGAGGGUGACCGGCCACACUGGGACUGAGACACGGCCCAGACUCCUACGGGAGGCAGCAGUGGGGAAUAUUGCACAAUGGGCGCAAGCCUGAUGCAGCGACGCCGCGUGAGGGAUGACGGCCUUCGGGUUGUAAACCUCUUUCAGUAGGGAAGAAGGCCUUCGGGUUGACGGUACCUGCAGAAGAAGCGCCGGCUAACUACGUG